rnacentral:rRNA from 1 species
GAGUUUGAUCUUGGCUCAGAGUGAACGCUGGCGGUAGGCCUAACACAUGCAAGUCGAACGGCAGCACAGUAAGAGCUUGCUCUUAUGGGUGGCGAGUGGCGGACGGGUGGGGAAUACAUCGGAAUCUACUUUUUCGUGGGGGAUAACGUAGGGAAACUUACGCUAAUACCGCAUACGACCUACGGGUGAAAGCAGGGGAUCUUCGGACCUUGCGCGAUUGAAUGAGCCGAUGUCGGAUUAGCUAGUUGGCGGGGUAAAGGCCCACCAAGGCGACGAUCCGUAGCUGGUCUGAGAGGAUGAUCAGCCACACUGGAACUGAGACACGGUCCAGACUCCUACGGGAGGCAGCAGUGGGGAAUAUUGGACAAUGGGCGCAAGCCUGAUCCAGCCAUACCGCGUGGGUG